ACGUAGGGUGCAAGCGUUAAUCGGAAUUACUGGGCGUAAAGCGUGCGCAGGUGGUUUGACAAGACCGACGUGAAAGCCCCGGGCUCAACCUGGGAACUGCGUUGGUGACUGUCUGACUAGAGUGUGGCAGAGGGGGGUGGAAUUCCGCGUGUAGCAGUGAAAUGCGUAGAGAUGCGGAGGAACACCGAUGGCGAAGGCAGCCCCCUGGGCUAACACUGACACUCAUGCACGAAAGCGUGGGGAGCAAACAG
rnacentral:rRNA from 1 species